CUGACUCUUCCUGGCUUCCUCACUGGUCUACCCUAUGGCCUGGGGUGAGCCAUUUGCCUGCUUUCUGGAAUUGUAUAACUCCAGGGACACAGACUGAGUAUGUUAGAUCCUGGAGUUAUGUAAGGCAGAGGUUCUGCUUUGCCCAUCUGCUUCCUUCAGUGGGAGGUGAGAUGACCUAGUGAGCCCCCAGCUUCACCAAGGAGACCAAAAGUCCAAGACAACAUGAAGAGAGUGGUGAGCUACGUCAGCGCUGGCCUCUUUUCUACCCCAAGAGGAGGUAGGUGAUAAAAGAAUGCAAUACAUAC
rnacentral:lncRNA from 1 species